AGUCGAGCGAACAGAUAAGGAGCUUGCUCCUUUGACGUUAGCGGCGGACGGGUGAGUAACACGUGGGUAACCUACCUAUAAGACUGGGAUAACUUCGGGAAACCGGAGCUAAUACCGGAUAAUAUUUCGAACCGCAUGGUUCAAUAGUGAAAGGCGGUUUUGCUGUCACUUAUAGAUGGACCCGCGCCGUAUUAGCUAGUUGGUAAGGUAACGGCUUACCAAGGCAACGAUACGUAGCCGACCUGAGAGGGUGAUCGGCCACACUGGAACUGAGACACGGUCCAGACUCCUACGGGAGGCAGCAGUAGGGAAUCUUCCGCAAUGGGCGAAAGCCUGACGGAGCAACGCCGCGUGAGUGAUGAAGGUCUUCGGAUCGUAAAACUCUGUUAUCAGGGAAGAACAUACGUGUAAGUAACUGUGCACGUCUUGACGGUACCUAAUCAGAAAGCCACGGCUAACUACGUGCCAGCAGCCGCGGUAAUACGUAGGUGGCAAGCGUUAUCCGGAAUUAUUGGGCGUAAAGCGCGCGUAGGCGGUUUUUUAAGUCUGAUGUGAAAGCCCACGGCUCAACCGUGGAGGGUCAUUGGAAACUGGAAAACUUGAGUGCAGAAGAGGAAAGUGGAAUUCCAUGUGUAGCGGUGAAAUGCGCAGAGAUAUGGAGGAACACCAGUGGCGAAGGCGACUUUCUGGUCUGUAACUGACGCUGAUGUGCGAAAGCGUGGGGAUCAAACAGGAUUAGAUACCCUGGUAGUCCACGCCGUAAACGAUGAGUGCUAAGUGUUAAGGGGGUUUCCGCCCCUUAGUGCUGCAGCUAACGCAUUAAGCACUCCGCCUGGGGAGUACGACCGCAAGUUGAACUCAAGAAUUGACGGGA
rnacentral:rRNA from 1 species